rnacentral:rRNA from 1 species
AAACCAACAGGGAUUGCCCCAGUAACGGCGAGUGAAGCGGCAACAGCUCAGAUUUGGAAUCUGGCCCCCCCCCGGGGGCCCGAGUUGUAAUCUGGAGAGGAUGCUUCUGGCGCGGCGCCUGGCGAGUUCCCUGGAACGGGACGCCGGAGAGGGUGAGAGCCCCGUACUCCAGGACGCCCAGCCUCUGCGAAGCUCCUUCGACGAGUCGAGUAGUUUGGGAAUGCUGCUCUAAACGGGAGGUAAAUUUCUUCUAAAGCUAAAUACCGGCCAGAGACCGAUAGCGCACAAGUAGAGUGAUCGAAAGAUGAAAAGCACUUUGAAAAGAGGGUCAAACAGUACGUGAAAUUGUUGAAAGGGAAGCGCCCGUGGCCAGACUUGCGCCCCGCGGCCCACCCGGCGGACCCCGCCGGGGCACGCCGCGGGGCGCAGGCCAGCAUCGGCUCUCCCAGGGGGACAAGGACGGCGGGAACGUGGCUCCCUCGGGAGUGUUAUAGCCCGCCGCGCCAUGCCCCUGGGGGGGCCGAGG